rnacentral:rRNA from 1 species
GCGGAAUGCUUUACACAUGCAAGUCGAACGGUAGAGGGGGCAACCCCUUGAGAGUGGCGAACGGGUGAGUAAUAUAUCGGAACGUGCCCAGUCGUGGGGGAUAACGUAGUGAAAAUUACGCUAAUACCGCAUACGAUCUAAGGAUGAAAGCGGGGGAUCGCAAGACCUCGCGCGACUGGAGCGGCCGAUAUCAGAUUAGGUAGUUGGUAGGGUAAAGGCCUACCAAGCCAACGAUCUGUAGCUGGUCUGAGAGGACGACCAGCCACACUGGAACUGAGACACGGUCCAGACUCCUACGGGAGGCAGCAGUGGGGAAUUUUGGACAAUGGGCGAAAGCCUGAUCCAGCCAUUCCGCGUGCAGGAUGAAGGCCCUCGGGUUGUAAACUGCUUUUGUACAGAACGAAAAGGUCUCUAUUAAUACUAGGGGCUCAUGACGGUACUGUAAGAAUAAGCACCGGCUAACUACGUGCCAGCAGCCGCGGUAAUACGUAGGGUGCAAGCGUUAAUCGGAAUUACUGGGCGUAAAGCGUGCGCAGGCGGUUAUAUAAGUCAGAUGUGAAAUCCCCGGGCUCAACCUGGGAACUGCAUUUGAGACUGUAUAGCUAGAGUACGGUAGAGGGGGAUGGAAUUCCGCGUGUAGCAGUGAAAUGCGUAGAUAUGCGGAGGAACACCGAUGGCGAAGGC